GCUAUGUAUUCUUUGCAACUUCUUCUAUCAAGAGGUGGAGACUAAUUUUCCAUCUGUUGACUUUGGACUUGCCUCAUGACCUUUUUCGCCAGUGGAAGGUGGGAAGGAGGCAUUCAUGUUCUAUGUCUAGAGCAUUCAUGCAAGCUGUUCUGGGAUUCUGCUGUCCUCUGAAAUAGCACAAGCUUGCCUAUUGGAGAGGCUACAUGAAGGAGACAAACUGUCCAGCUACUCUGCCAAACACUAGCCAUGUCUCAAACGCAAAGUCAAAGUAUAGGAAAUACGACACAUUUACCACCAUCUCUAUAAAUGUCAUUUUGACACUCAGGUCGGAUGUGACAACAGUUACAUAGGAAAAAGAUAUUUGUUACCUAAUCUUAAAAUGUAGAGGAAAAGAUAUUAUUAAUAUCACCUCUGCUGAAGGACUCAAUGUUUAUGUAUUAAAGUCAUGAGAGAGAAGAAAGAAAUGCCUUUGAGAAGAUAUAGAAAGUACAAGAAAAGAUGAUCUAAAGUUAUUUAUGUGAAACAAUAGCUUCAUAUAUGUCUGUCUUUCUAAAACACUUUCAGUACCACAGCCAAUCUUAAAGAAGCUAGACAUUUCUCUUGUUCCAGUAUGGGAAGAUAUAAGUACACAUAUAUUUUGAAAGAAUAAACGUUCAAAGAUGUUAAGCUCAUAAGAUAAACCGCAUUUCAGAACGUGCACAAUCAAAGGUGAUGGACAGAGGGAGAACAUCAAAGUAAAGGACCUUUAAAGCCAUAGGAAAAAUUACUUUAAGUUGUGAAACAAGUGACUUUCUCAAAUAGCUCUAUUUUGUUGUAAAAAGCAGCCACAUAUCAUAAUAAAAUGUAAAAUAUAAUAUAAAUUUUUGUAGGAGGUGAUUUCUUCUUGAAACACAAAAUUCUGGCCAUUUCCUUUGAAGGAAUUUGCAGGGAUGAAGAGUGAUUCUAAGGAUGGAUGUAGUACCAUGAAUCUCUCUAAACCUAACGGAAGCUGGACUCUAACACUCAAAUAUAGAAAAUCUUCUAUUUAUAGAUUCGAUGAAACUAUAGGAAGUGAAGCAAAAUUAAUUCAAAUAUCUCAAACAUUUGCCAACAAAUACUGUUAAACUAAUUAGAGUGUUUAUACUUCAAUAAUCAAGACAAGUUCCACCUUGAGAUCCUUUCAUUCAUUUCUUUUUAGUUUGGUUUCUAAUGCUCCAAGUGCCAACCAUCCACCCUUCUGAACUCUACAAUGAGCUCCCCGUGCACGCUCCUGAAGGUAAGAGUGAGAGAGAUUUCUGGUAGACAAAGACUGUAUGCAGAAAACGGGCCAGGGACUAUGGACGAAAGAGAAACCAAAAACCUGAGCAGCAGUGCCACCUUCUGGAAAACAAAAGAGAGGUUUCACAAAGCAGGUCUUGUGAGUUUUAAGAUCAAUAGAAUACAUACAAAUAUCAGCUUUCUGCCACAAAAGGGAGCAAAAAGUUUGAAGCAGGUGCAUCUAUACAAGCUUGAGAAAGCCCCAGAUCUAAGUAGGACAAAUGAAAAGUAUUUCCUACCUGUAGGCAGCUGUAUAGAUUUGAGGAGGAGACCAAAACUUCAAAUGCAAAAACAGCAAUACAAAACUCCAAGAAACAUGAAGAAUCAGGGAAACAUGAGAUCACUAAAAGAUAACAAUAAUCCUCAAGUGCAAACCAAAGACUCAGAAUUCUGUGAUUUACCCAAUAAGGGAUUCAAAAUGGUUGUUUUGAGGAAACUCAGUGAGCUACAAGAAUGGACAGAAAGAUAAUUCAGUAAAAUUAGGAAAGCAAAGCAUGAACAAAAAAAUAAAUUUAAUAAAAAGGCAGAAAUCAUAACAAAGAACCAAACAGAAACUCUGGAGCUUAAGAAUUCUAUAAAUAAAAUGAAAAAUGCAAUAGAAUCAAAAGUAGAAUAGACCAAACAUAAGACGGAAUAAGUGAGUUAGAGCAAAUAAAUUUUGAAAUAACUCCACCUGAGAAGAAGAAAGAAAAAAAAUAAAAAAGAGUGAAGAAAGAGGUUGUGAUCCCUGGGACAUCAAGAAAACAAUAUCUGAAUCACCAGCGUUCCAGAAAGAGAAGAGGGAAAAGGAGGUAGAAAGUUUAUUUUAAGAAAUAAUAGCCUAGACCUUCCCAAACCUCGGGAGAAAUUUGGAUAUCCAAAUUAACAAAGCUAACAGAUCACUGCAAUCCUGAAAUUCAAAACAAUCUACUCCAUAACAUAUUUUAAAGAAACCAUCAAAAAUCAAGAACAAAGCAAGAAUCCUAAAAGCAUCAAUGGAGAAGACAAUUGUAAUCUACAAAGGAAGUCUCAUUAGGCUCUUGGCAGAUUUGUCAGCAGAAACUUUACAGUCCAGGAGAGAGUGGAAUGAUAUAUUCAGAGUGGUGAAAGAAAAACAUUGCCAGCCAACAAUACUCUCACUGGAAAGUUAUCCUUCAGAAAUGAAGGGGAAAUAAAGACUUCCCUAGACAAAUAAAAGCUAAGGGCAUUUAUUACCCCAAACCUACCUUACAAAACAUUCUGAAAGGAUUUCUUUUGCUGAAAUAGAAAGAGACUAAUUAUGUGCUGGCCUGGUGGUGUACUGGUUAAGUUGGUGUGCUCUGCUCCAGCUGCCUAGGGUUCAUGAGUUCCAAUCCUGGGAGUGCACCUACACACUGCUCAUCAAGCCACACUGUGGUGGCAUUGCACAUGCGAAAUAGAGGAGGAUUGGCAUAGGUGUUAGUUAGUGACAAUCUUCCUAUAACAAAAACCAGAAGACAGGCAGCAGAUGUUAUCUCAGGGCCAAUCUUCCUCACCAAAAAAAAAAAAAAAAAAAACACAGAGAGAGAGAGAGAGAGAGAAAGAUUAAUUAGUAACAUGAAAUCAGUUGAAAAUAUACAACACUCUGGUAAAUGUAAAUAUACAGUUAGAUUUUGGAAAACGUCAAUUCUGUAAUAUGAUACUAUGUUUACCAUUUUACUAUAGGAUAAUGUUAAAGGAAAAGAGAAUUAAAUAAAAUACAGCUACUAUAGUUUGUUAACAAGAUACAAUAUAAAAAGAGAGAAAUUGUGACAUGAAAACAUAAACGGGGGUCUAAAAGUAUAGAGACUUGUAUGCAAUCAAAGUCAACCUGCUAUCAGUUUAGAGGAACUAUUUUAUCUGUAAGAUAUUUUAUGGAAGCCUCAUAGUAACAACAAAACAGAAACCUCUGGUAGAUUCAGAAAACAUGAAGAGAAGGGAAUCAGAGCACACCAUCAUGUAAACUCACCAAUUCACAAAGAUAGAACACAAGGAAAAAAGAUUCAAUGGAACUAAAAAACAGUGAGAAAGCAAUUAAUAAGAUGGCAUUAUGACAUUGCUAAGUCUCUAUAUAUCGAAACAUCCUCUAAAUGUAAAUGGAUUGAAUUAUCCAGUCAAAGACACGGAGUGGGUGGAUGGAUUAAAAGCAAAAUAAGACCUAGGUCUAUCUGCUCACAAGCGAUUCACUUUAGCUUUAAGGACACAUGUGGGCUCAAAGUAAAGGGAUGGAAAAGAUAUUCAAUGCGAGUGGAAACUAAAAGAGAGCACGAGUAGCUAUAUAUCAGACAAAAUAGAUUUUAAGCCAAUAAGAGAAAAAGAAGGUCAUUAUAUAGUGAUAAAGGGGUUGGCUAACCCAGAAGAUAAAACAAUUGUAAAUAUAUAUGCCGGAACAACAGAGGACCUAAAUAUAUUAAGUAAACACUGACAGAUCUGAAGGAAGAAAUGGACAACACAAAAAUAGUAAGGGAUUUCAAUAGCCCACGUUCUGCUAUGGAUAGAUCCUUCAGACUGAAAAUCAACAAGAAAACGUUGAAAUUGAACUAUACAUUAGACCAAAUGGA